CGCAAAGUGAAGUUCAUACUUUGUAAAUUCUGCUCGGUGACUAACUGUUUAACAGCAGCGGUAUUUUGACCGUUCAAAGGUAGCAUAAUAAGCUUAGUAAUUGUAAGCCUGUCAACGGAACCAUGGGUUUAUUUAAAUAAAAGUCUAAGCGAAAAGAAAUUAAAAUUAAAGUAAAAACUCUUUUUAAAAUCUAAAAGACGAUAAGACCCUAGAAUUUUUUAUUAAAGUUUAGGUGGGGAAUCUAAGAUCAAAAACAAUCUUGAGCAAAAAUACUCUAGGGAUAACAGCUUUAUUUUAAAAUAUUUUUAAAGGUUAAGACCUCGAUGUUGAAUUAAGAAAUCAAUUUUUCAAAAGAAAAUUGAUCUAGGUCUGUUCGACCUUAUUCUCUU
rnacentral:rRNA from 1 species